GGCCGCGUGGCCCAAUCAGCAGAGGCAAUCGACUUAAAAUCGAUGAGCUGCGGGUGCGACUCCCGCCGCGGCCA
rnacentral:tRNA from 2 species